rnacentral:lncRNA from 1 species
GGAGGGAGAAUGUCUUGUUUGUGGCUUGUCAGCAAUUGCUUGAGACAAGCUUCCAUGUGUGAAAGCUACUUGGCAUGAAUGCCUGGGCCGUACCAAGUGUCACCGCAGCAAGAGGGGGAGACAGAAGAAAAACAGAUCAGACCAGAGCAGACAAUAGGCCCCUAAAGUGUUCCCCCUAAGUUGCUUUGAUGUUGUCCUGGUGUCUUGAUACCAGGAGGCCAGGGAUUGCUGGAAAAGGGUCUUUUUUGUCUUCGUUCACUUCCCUCCAGUUUCUGCAAUGAUUCUCCAGAAUCUCUGCUCAUGAAAAAGGCUUCCCGCGCACGUCUAUUCUUGAUCCUUUUUAUCUGAACAACCUGAACUGGACCGGUGAUACAGCCAUGGACUGUUUAAUCUCUCUCCAACUCACUCUACUCCCCUGUCAAAUACAGACAAUACUAAUUAUUUCAAUACCUUAUAAUAUGAAUUAAAUUAGACGGGACCGUAUCUUUAAGUUCACUCCUAGAGGUGCGUACGGACUGAACGCGGGUCUGUGGUACACACGCAGCUGGAAUGCACACGGAAUCCAAGUCCUGUGAUGGGAUAGGUGAGGGCGACUUCUGGAACAGGAUUCUUUGAAAUUUCAUGUAGACAAGUGCAAGCUAAUGUUCACUGGAAGGAACAACCGAAGCAGCUUCCACUCACUGAUGGGCUCUGAAUUACUCCACUUGUAAGUGCUCAGGAAAAAGAUCUCAGAUUCAUUGUGGAUUGCUCAAUGGAGACAUCUGCUCGCCGCGCAGCAGCAGUCAGAAGAAUGAAUGAGAGAUAAUAGGCUGUAUUAACUUUGAGAAUGGGAUAAAGAAGAAUGCAGAAAAUAAUAUAGUGCACAUAAUUUGGCAUUGACUAUUUCUGUAAUUACAAUAAAACAUUUUAAUGAUAUACAUUGAUGUUAUGACUUCACCUUAAAAUCAGAAUUCAGCACUGGGUCCUUUCACUUCAAAAGAAAACAGAGCAGAAUUGUAAAGGAUGCAGAGAAAAACAACAGACACUCUCAGAGACACGCAAGGGACUCGCCUGUAAUGAGGAACCAAAAAGAC